AUCCAUCUGACGAGUCCCACAUAGGAUUAGACUCAUGUCCUGGAU
rfam:Schistosoma haematobium scaffold480_15, whole genome shotgun sequence.